CCUACGGGGGGCUGCAGUCGAGAAUCUUCGGCAAUGGGCGCAAGCCUGACCGAGCGACGCCGCGUGCGGGAUGAAGGCCUUCGGGUUGUAAACCGCUGUCAGAGAGGCGGAAAUGCGUUGGGGCAAUCCCCAGCGUUUGACCUAAUCUCAGAGGAAGCACGGGCUAAGUUCGUGCCAGCAGCCGCGGUAAGACGAACCGUGCGAACGUUAUUCGGAAUCACUGGGCUUAAAGGGUGCGUAGGCGGCCAAGAGGGUGGGGUGUGAAAUCCCUCGGCUUAACCGAGGAAUUGCGCUCCAAACCGCUUGGCUGGAGUGAGGCAGAGGUGAGCGGAACUGAUGGUGGAGCGGUGAAAUGCGUUGAUAUCAUCAGGAACACCAGAGGCGAAGGCGGCUCACUGGGCCUUAACUGACGCUGAGGCACGAAAGCUAGGGUAGCGAAC
rnacentral:rRNA from 1 species